GUGGGAAUAGCUCAGUUGGCUAGAGCGCAGGAUUGUGGCUCCUGAGGCCGCGGGUUCGAAUCCCGUUUCUCACCCCA
rnacentral:tRNA from 1 species